rnacentral:lncRNA from 1 species
AGGAAAUGUUUAUUGAGACUGAAAUGGAACACUGUUUCUUCUAUGAGUUAACAGCACAGUGUGUUAAGAGGCUGGUUACAAACUCCAAAACAAAGAUGACCCAUAGUUCAUGAAGAGCUCUGCCAACUCUGGUGCCACUAAUUGGAGCCACCUGAUAAGAGGAUAGAACCAUUCAGUCCAAAAAUACAUUACUGAUUCAACUCCAUUUAUAUUUAGAUUUAAUUCCUAUUAACAGUACCAAUAUUUGCAUUUUAAAAUUCACACUGAGUUUCACUUUGAUGUUUACAUGGCAAUUUCAGUAUUAUUUUCUUGUAGAUUUCAGGUACAGGUGGUCAAUACUAUUUACUUUUCUGCUAUCUUUGGCACAAUCUCUGGUUUCUAAAAUAUAAAAGUACAGGUUUAGGUUGGCUACACAAUAUUGCAAAACAUGACUAUUUGGGAUCUAUCUCCAUGUAAGUACAAGUUCAUGUUAAGCAUUAUUUACAAGAUGGGAUCUGAAGUACAGACUCUAAUAAGCUAUCUUCCAUCAUUAGCAGAAGAAUGACAAGUAGAGAAUUUUAAUGAGCAGGGCCAAGAUUACUAGUUAGAACAGUCCUCUCUGGAGGAGGAGACAAGUGUUGGAGGAGGAGACAAGUGUCAGAGGAUGGAACAAUUUCCCCUGAACCAUUUAUGUUGUGGGAUUGAUUUUGCAAGAAUCCAGGGUAGGGAUGGCUGUUUUAGGCAAUGUGUCUUGUUCAACUUCUGGAAUCUACAUUAAAA